rnacentral:rRNA from 1 species
CACGUAGGGGACGAGCGUUGUCCGGAUUCAUUGGGCGUAAAGCGCGCGUAGGCGGCUCGGAAAGUCGGUCGUGAAAUGCCGGGGCUCAACCCCGGGACUGCGUCCGAUACUUCCGGGCUGGAGGUAGGUAGGGGAGAUCGGAAUUCCUGGUGUAGCGGUGAGAUGCGCAGAUAUCAGGAGGAACACCGGUGGCGAAGGCGGAUCUCUGGGCCUUACCUGACGCUGAGGCGCGAAAGCUAGGGGAGCGAACAGG